ACGUACACUCCUGCGGAGGCAGCAGUGGGGAAUAUUGCACAAUGGGCGCAAGCCUGAUGCAGCCAUGCCGCGUGUAUGAAGAAGGCCUUCGUGUUGUAAAGUACUUUCAGCGGGGAGGAAGGCGAUAAGGUUAAUAACCUUGUUGAUUGACGUUACCCGCAGAAGAAGCACCGGCUAACUCCGUGCCAGCAGCCGCGGUAAUACGGAGGGUGCAAGCGUUAAUCGGAAUUACUGGGCGUAAAGCGCACGCAGGCGGUCUGUCAAGUCGGAUGUGAAAUCCCCGGGCUCAACCUGGGAACUGCAUUCGAAACUGGCAGGCUAGAGUCUUGUAGAGGGGGGUAGAAUUCCAGGUGUAGCGGUGAAAUGCGUAGAGAUCUGGAGGAAUACCGGUGGCGAAGGCGGCCCCCUGGACAAAGACUGACGCUCAGGUGCGAAAGCGUGGGGAGCAAACAGGAUUAGAUACCCCGGUAGUCCCA
rnacentral:rRNA from 1 species